ACCUCAGAGCAGGCGAGAUCAC
rnacentral:rRNA from 5 species